rnacentral:rRNA from 1 species
AUUGAACGCUGGCGGCAUGCCUUACACAUGCAAGUCGAACGGCAGCACGGGAGCAAUCCUGGUGGCGAGUGGCGAACGGGUGAGUAAUAUAUCGGAACGUGCCCAGUCGUGGGGGAUAACGCAGCGAAAGCUGUGCUAAUACCGCAUACGAUCUACGGAUGAAAGCGGGGGAUCGCAAGACCUCACGCGAUUGGAGCGGCCGAUAUCAGAUUAGCUAGUUGGGGGGGUAAAGGCCUACCAAGGCGACGAUCUGUAGCUGGUCUGAGAGGACGACCAGCCACACUGGAACUGAGACACGGUCCAGACUCCUACGGGAGGCAGCAGUGGGGAAUUUUGGACAAUGGGCGCAAGCCUGAUCCAGCAAUGCCGCGUGCAGGAUGAAGGCCUUCGGGUUGUAAACUGCUUUUGUACGGAACGAAACGGUGAGCUCUAAUACAGUUUGCUAAUGACGGUACCGUAAGAAUAAGCACCGGCUAACUACGUGCCAGCAGCCGCCGUAACAC